AAAUAAGAUUUAUCAUGAGAAGUCAGCCGACGUCAUAGUACCAACAAAGUUGCAGAUGAGUUGGGAAGGAC
rnacentral:ncRNA from 1 species